GCUGGGAUGGCGGAAUUGGCAUACGCGAUAGCCUUAGGAGCUAUUGGGAGUAAUCCCUUGGGAGUUCAAAUCUCCCUCCCAGCA
rnacentral:tRNA from 1 species